UGGCUCAGAUUGAACGCUGGCGGCAGGCCUAACACAUGCAAGUCGAGCGGAAACGACUUAACAGAACCUUCGGGGGACGUUAAGGGCGUCGAGCGGCGGACGGGUGAGUAAUGCCUAGGAAAUUGCCCUGAUGUGGGGGAUAACCAUUGGAAACGAUGGCUAAUACCGCAUGAUGCCUACGGGCCAAAGAGGGGGACCUUCGGGCCUCUCGCGUCAGGAUAUGCCUAGGUGGGAUUAGCUAGUUGGUGAGGUAAUGGCUCACCAAGGCGACGAUCCCUAGCUGGUCUGAGAGGAUGAUCAGCCACACUGGAACUGAGACACGGUCCAGACUCCUACGGGAGGCAGCAGUGGGGAAUAUUGCACAAUGGGCGCAAGCCUGAUGCAGCCAUGCCGCGUGUGUGAAGAAGGCCUUCGGGUUGUAAAGCACUUUCAGUCGUGAGGAAGGUGGUAAUGUUAAUAGCAUUAUUAUUUGACGUUAGCGACAGAAGAAGCACCGGCUAACUCCGUGCCAGCAGCCGCGGUAAUACGGAGGGUGCGAGCGUUAAUCGGAAUUACUGGGCGUAAAGCGCAUGCAGGUGGUUUGUUAAGUCAGAUGUGAAAGCCCGGGGCUCAACCUCGGAAUAGCAUUUGAAACUGGCAGACUAGAGUACUGUAGAGGGGGGUAGAAUUUCAGGUGUAGCGGUGAAAUGCGUAGAGAUCUGAAGGAAUACCGGUGGCGAAGGCGGCCCCCUGGACAGAUACUGACACUCAGAUGCGAAAGCGUGGGGAGCAAACAGGAUUAGAUACCCUGGUAGUCCACGCCGUAAACGAUGUCUACUUGGAGGUUGUGGCCUUGAGCCGUGGCUUUCGGAGCUAACGCGUUAAGUAGACCGCCUGGGGAGUACGGUCGCAAGAUUAAAACUCAAAUGAAUUGACGGGGGCCCGCACAAGCGGUGGAGCAUGUGGUUUAAUUCGAUGCAACGCGAAGAACCUUACCUACUCUUGACAUCCAGAGAACUUUCCAGAGAUGGAUUGGUGCCUUCGGGAACUCUGAGACAGGUGCUGCAUGGCUGUCGUCAGCUCGUGUUGUGAAAUGUUGGGUUAAGUCCCGCAACGAGCGCAACCCUUAUCCUUGUUUGCCAGCGAGUAAUGUCGGGAACUCCAGGGAGACUGCCGGUGAUAAACCGGAGGAAGGUGGGGACGACGUCAAGUCAUCAUGGCCCUUACGAGUAGGGCUACACACGUGCUACAAUGGCGCAUACAGAGGGCAGCAAGCUAGCGAUAGUGAGCGAAUCCCAAAAAGUGCGUCGUAGUCCGGAUUGGAGUCUGCAACUCGACUCCAUGAAGUCGGAAUCGCUAGUAAUCGUGGAUCAGAAUGCCACGGUGAAUACGUUCCCGGGCCUUGUACACACCGCCCGUCACACCAUGGGAGUGGGCUGCAAAAGAAGUAGGUAGUUUAACCUUUCGGGGAGGACGCUUACCACUUUGUGGUUCAUGACUGGGGUGAAGUCGUAACAAGGUAA
rnacentral:rRNA from 1 species